AGUGAACGCUGGCGGUAGGCCUAACACAUGCAAGUCGAACGGCAGCACAGUAAGAGCUUGCUCUUACGGGUGGCGAGUGGCGGACGGGUGAGGAAUACAUCGGAAUCUACUUUUUCGUGGGGGAUAACGUAGGGAAACUUACGCUAAUACCGCAUACGACCUACGGGUGAAAGCAGGGGAUCUUCGGACCUUGCGCGAUUGAAUGAGCCGAUGUCGGAUUAGCUAGUUGGCGGGGUAAAGGCCCACCAAGGCGACGAUCCGUAGCUGGUCUGAGAGGAUGAUCCGCCACACUGGAACUGAGACACGGUCCAGACUCCUACGGGAGGCAGCAGUGGGGAAUAUUGGACAAUGGGCGCAAGCCUGAUCCAGCCAUACCGCGUGGGUGAAGAAGGCCUUCGGGUUGUAAAGCCCUUUUGUUGGGAAAGAGAAGCAGCAGGUUAAUACCCCGCUGUUCUGACGGUACCCAAAGAAUAAGCACCGGCUAACUUCGUG
rnacentral:rRNA from 1 species